UACGUAGGGACCGAGCGUUGUCCGGAAUCAUUGGGCGUAAAGAGCUCGUAGGCGGUUUGUCGCGUCUGCUGUGAAAACCUAAGGCUCAACCUUGGGCUUGCAGUGGGUACGGGCAGACUAGAGUGCGGUAGGGGUGACUGGAAUUCCUGGUGUAGCGGUGGAAUGCGCAGAUAUCAGGAGGAACACCGAUGGCGAAGGCAGGUCACUGGGCCGCAACUGACGCUGAGGAGCGAAAGCAUGGGGAGCGAACAGG
rnacentral:rRNA from 1 species